GUUUCAAUGGCCAAAGGUGGGUUUCCUUCAGGAUUUGGGCUCCAAGGGCUCCUGGGGCCUGGAAGUUUGUCAUCUUGCAUCUAGCACUAGUAUCCCUGUGUCCUCGCACUCAGCAGCUUCUAUUAAACCGCAGGCAGGGGGAUGCUGAGUGCGCGGAGGUCCCAUGCAGGCUGUCAGGAGCUGUGAUUUUAUAUAUAUAUAUAUAUAUAUGUGUGUGUGUGUGUGUAUAUAUGUAUAUAUAUAUGUACAGUCCAAAUUCAGGAGUUGUUUCUGUGUUUGCCAACUCACCUGAGUGCCUUGGCUCUCGAGGUUCACACUUGCCCGGAUUUGUGUCUUGGGGUGACUCUCUGCCAAGGCGCAAAAGCCUCGGGGACCCUCUCUGCAGCAUGCGCUGCAUGGGCAGACAGCGAGAGGACGAAAGGGGACGAGUGCUGAGCCUCGCUCGCAGGAGGUGCAGGGACACAGGUCCUGCUUGCUCCAGAAGGCGUUAAAGUUGUUACUGCUGGCUGCUUCGGCCAAGCUGCUUGCCCUCUGCGCCUCUCUGGGGAAGCGGGGGGGGAUGCUGGGAAGCACUGAGCGGUGCAAGGCCUCAGCCCUGUGCGAUCCCCAUGCUGGUCUCUGGGGGUCCCCUGCUAGCCGUGCCCUGCAGCAGGGGCUGGGCAGCGGGUGCAAGUUUCUCGAGCAUCUUCGAGGUGUGCCCAGGAGCUGGCCUCUGCCACAGCCACCCGCCCGCCUCGCUGCCGCUUGCCGGGAUCCUGGCACUCGGGCUCGGCUGCUGGGGGGAGACGGCGUUUCCACGUGUGAGCAUCGCUGGGAGUCAGCGAGAUGGCCGAGACUAAUGCCACAGCUGCGUUUCCACCAGCUGGGUCCUGCUGCCUGCGAGGCAGCUCCUCCCGACGGCUCGAGGACGAGGACGUGCCCUGGGAACGUGCUGCCCUCGGGUGCCGGUUGGACCCUCUGCAACUCGGGUGAUGCCAAGGGUGCGAUGCUUUUUUUGCAGUCCUGUAUGGUGGGUGGGAAGCAAGCUGACUUGGGCAGCGCUUUGCUGAGUUUACUUUUUCGGAGGUGGCUGUGGGGCUGGGAAGUGUGUGCCCCUGUGUCCGCAGGGCAAGGGGCAGCGGCAGGGCGGCCAGCAUCGUUGCAUUGUGCAAUUUUUCCAUGCAGGAACAAGAAGUACUUGUCUGUCCUUCACACAGCUUUAUUACUUAAUUGUUACUAG
rnacentral:lncRNA from 1 species